ensembl:miRNA
GUAAAUGCAGACUCUCGGAUUCCACCCCCAGAAAAUCCAUAAACCGGGGGUGGAGUCCAGGAAUCUGCAUUUUAGAAAGUACCCAGGGUGAUUCUGAUAUAUUGAGAACA